GACGAACGCUGGCGGCGUGCCUAAUACAUGCAAGUAGAACGCUGAAGGAGGAGCUUGCUUCUCUGGAUGAGUUGCGAACGGGUGAGUAACGCGUAGGUAACCUGCCUGGUAGCGGGGGAUAACUAUUGGAAACGAUAGCUAAUACCGCAUAAUAGUAGAUGUUGCAUGACAUUUGCUUAAAAGGUGCAAUUGCAUCACUACCAGAUGGACCUGCGUUGUAUUAGCUAGUUGGUGAGGUAACGUCUCACCAAGGCAACGAUACAUAGCCGACCUGAGAGGGUGAUCGGCCACACUGGGACUGAGACACGGCCCAGACUCCUACGGGAGGCAGCAGUAGGGAAUCUUCGGCAAUGGACGGAAGUCUGACCGAGCAACGCCGCGUGAGUGAAGAAGGUUUUCGGAUCGUAAAGCUCUGUUGUAAGAGAAGAACGAGUGUGAGAGUGGAAAGUUCACACUGUGACGGUAUCUUACCAGAAAGAGACGGCUAACUACGUG
rnacentral:rRNA from 1 species